CAAGUGCAAAAUGAAUGUUUAGACUGAAUUUCUAUGACAUCUGUACGCGUAUUCAUUGUGUUUUUGUUGCUGCUGGAACAGACCAAACCGGCAGUAUGUAAGGCAAAUUCAGCAUACACUGAUAAGAUGGAUUCUAUGAUGUUUCAGGUUAUCUGGGCUGGACUGAAAAGUUUGAAACAAGAGCCCAACAAUCAUGACAAUAAAGAAAACGUUACUAGCGGUGCAAGUUAUAUACAAUGGGGUAGAUCAACGUGUACUAGUAGAAAUUCGAAGCUCGUUUACGACGGAUACACGGGCGGAUCUUCAUACGCAAAACCAGGAGCGGCAGCUAACCACCUUUGCCUACCCAAACAGCCACAAUGGGGAGUUUACGAUGAGAAAGUUAACAAAAAUCCUUUUGUCGGGGCAGCCGUAUUCAACAUCUACGAUAUUGACAUAAAAAACUCCCUUUUUGACAAAAGCAAAUAUGACUUGUACAGUUUUCCAUGUGCUGUCUGUCAUACCAAGAUUGGGUCAUCAACACUUAUGAUACCUGGCCGUAAAGAUUGCAUUGGAGAUUGGAAUAAAGAAUAUACUGGGUACCUAAUGUCUGGCUGGCCUGACCAUAAGGCUGCAACAGAGUAUUUAUGUGUCGAUGCCGAUUCUGAGCGAUUGAAGAAAGCGUCCAGUUGGGGCAACAAGCCUAUUUUAUUCGCAGUUGCAGCCAAAUGUAAUGGAGUACUUCCGUGUCCUCCAUAUGUUGAUGGCCGGGAAAUGACAUGUGUCGUAUGCUCAAAAUAAAAACAUAAUUGAAUAUUCAAAAUAAAUAGUAUAUUUUCA